GAUGAACGCUGGCGGCGUGCUUAACACAUGCAAGUCGAACGAUGAAGCCCAGCUUGCUGGGUGGAUUAGUGGCGAACGGGUGAGUAACACGUGAGUAACCUGCCCUUAACUCUGGGAUAAGCCUGGGAAACUGGGUCUAAUACCGGAUAGGAGCGCCUACCGCAUGGUGGGUGUUGGAAAGAUUUAUCGGUUUUGGAUGGACUCGCGGCCUAUCAGCUUGUUGGUGAGGUAAUGGCUCACCAAGGCGACGACGGGUAGCCGGCCUGAGAGGGUGACCGGCCACACUGGGACUGAGACACGGCCCAGACUCCUACGGGAGGCAGCAGUGGGGAAUAUUGCACAAUGGGCGAAAGCCUUAUGCAGCGACGCCGCGUGAGGGAUGACGGCCUUCGGGUUGUAAACCUCUUUCAGUAGGGAAGAAGCGAAAGUGACGGUACCUGCAGAAGAAGCACCGGCUAACUACGUG
rnacentral:rRNA from 1 species